CCCAGACUCCUACGGGAGGCAGCAGUGGGGGAUAUUGCACAAUGGGGGGAACCCUGAUGCAGUGACGCCGCGUGGGUGAAGGAGCGUUUCGGCGCGUAAAGCCCUAUCGGCAGGGAAGAAGGAGGACGGUACCUGACUAAGAAGCCCCGGCUAACUACGUGCCAGCAGCCGCGGUAAUACGUAGGGGGCAAGCGUUAUCCGGAUUUACUGGGUGUAAAGGGGGCGCAGACGGCAGCGCAAGCCAGGAGUGAAAGCCCGGGGCCCAACCCCGGGACUGCUCUUGGAACUGCGCGGCUGGAGUGCAGGAGGGGCAGGCGGAAUUCCUGGUGUAGCGGUGAAAUGCGUAGAUAUCAGGAGGAACACCGGUGGCGAAGGCGGCCUGCUGGACUGCGACUGACGUUGAGGCCCGAAAGCGUGGGGAGCAAACAGGAUUAGAUACCCUCGUAAA
rnacentral:rRNA from 1 species